rnacentral:lncRNA from 1 species
UUUAUUAAUGGUUAAUCAAUAUGAUUUGUACUAAAUAAAAUAUUUUGAUAGGAUACUAAUUUUACUGAUGUGUUAUGUUGAGAAGAGCACAAAAAACUGAUAUGUUGAAGUUGGAGAGAAUCUCAUUUUGUUUUUACUGUAUUGAUUUCCACUUGUUGUAAGAGCAAGCACGACUUUAUAAAUGUCGCAUAAUUAAUGGUCAAGGAUGUAGCUUUGACACUCGUUCUUACUAUGUAUUGCAAGAUCUAUUUACAAGCCAUAUAUGAAAUAUAACAUAGAUCAUAAGAAAUCAUGAGAUUCAUGCAUUUGUGUGUCAUGUUUGCUGUAGAUACGUUAUACAAUAUAACAUAGAUCACUCUUUAAUCUACUUCAGUUUCACUCAUGUCUCAUUGUUUAUACAACACAAGAGCAAACUCAUGUCUCUUCUCA